rnacentral:rRNA from 1 species
CAAUGGGCGAAGCCUGAAUGCAGCGACGCCGCGUGAGCGAAGAAGUAUUUCGGUAUGUAAAGCUCUAUCAGCAGGGNAAGAUAAUGACGGUACCUGACUAAGAAGCCCCGGCUAACUACGUGCCAGCAGCCGCGGUAAUACGUANGGGGCAAGCGUUAUCCGGAUUUACUGGGUGUAAAGGGAGCGUAGACGGUGUGGCAAGUCUGAUGUGAAAGGCAUGGGCUCAACCUGUGGACUGCAUUGGAAACUGUCAUACUUGAGUGCCGGAGAGGUAAGCGGAAUUCCUAGUGUAGCGGUGAAAUGCGUAGAUAUUAGGAGGAACACCAGUGGCGAAGGCGGCUUACUGGACGGUAACUGACGUUGAGGCUCGAAAGCGUGGGGAGCAAACAGGAUUAGAUACCCUGGUAGUCCAAGGGCGAAUUC